rnacentral:misc_RNA from 1 species
GAUGAAGAACGUAGUGAAAUGCGAUAAGUAAUGUGAAUUGCAGAAUUCAGUGAAUCAUCGAAUCUUUGAACGCACAUUGCGCCCGCCAGUAUUCUGGCGGGCAUGCCUGUUCGAGCGUCAUUUCAACCAUCAAGCCCCCGGGCUUGUGUUGGGGACCUGCGGCUGCCCGCAGGCCCUGAAAACCAGUGGCGGGCUCGCUGUCACACCGAGCGUAGUAGCAUCAUCUCGCUCAGGGCGUGCUGCGGGUUCCGGCCGUUAAAAAGCCUCUAAUACCCAAGGUUGACCUCGGAUCAGGUAGGAAGACCCGCUGAGCUUAAGCAUAUCAAUAAGCGGAGGA